GCGGCUGUGGUCUAGUCUGGUCUAGGACUUCAAGUCCCUCAAGGGGCGAGCAAGCCUUCCAAGCUGACUACCCGGGCUCAAAUCCCGGCAGCCGCA
rnacentral:tRNA from 1 species